rnacentral:piRNA from 1 species
UACCAGGCUAGGUGAUCCUUCCUCAGAUA